GGCUCCAUCGACUAGCCUGGUUCAGGUCAGCGGUCUCUCAAGCCGCAAGCACGGGUUCAAAUCCCGUUGGAGCCA
rnacentral:tRNA from 1 species